GAUGAACGCUGGCGGCGUGCCUAAUACAUGCAAGUAGAACGCUGAAGGAGGAGCUUGCUCUUUUGGAUGAGUUGCGAACGGGUGAGUAACGCGUAGGUAACCUGCCUGGUAGCGGGGGAUAACUAUUGGAAACGAUAGCUAAUACCGCAUGACAACAGUUAUUGCAUGAUAACUGUUUAAAAGGGGCAACUGCUCCACUACCAGAUGGACCUGCGUUGUAUUAGCUAGUUGGUGAGGUAACGGCUCACCAAGGCGACGAUACAUAGCCGACCUGAGAGGGUGAUCGGCCACACUGGGACUGAGACACGGCCCAGACUCCUACGGGAGGCAGCAGUAGGGAAUCUUCGGCAAUGGACGGAAGUCUGACCGAGCAACGCCGCGUGAGUGAAGAAGGUUUUCGGAUCGUAAAGCUCUGUUGUAAGAGAAGAACGAGUGUGAGAGUGGAAAGUUCACACUGUGACGGUAUCUGACCAGAAAGGGACGGCUAACUACGUG
rnacentral:rRNA from 1 species